rnacentral:lncRNA from 1 species
CAGAAUCUGUAUCCCAAGACAACUGUAAGGAAUCUUUGUAAGCUCUCGGUGUAAGCUGUGUGUUGCCAUGGACAUAAAUGAGAUGAAGUGGUUGGGAAAGUCCUGGGGUUAUAUGCAGGGACAGGAGUGGCAGGACGGGGUGACAAGUAGUUGACUAAUUACUGCAGACUGUACAGACUGGACCUUCAGCACCCUAUGGUGGAGGCUGAAAGUCCAAGAUUUUGACUUUCAGGGGGGAGGGGGAUUGGGCUUUCUCUCUUGGCUUAGCAAUGGCUGCCUUCUUGCACACCCUAGCACACACAGCCUUUCCUCUGGGCACACACGCAUCCCUUCGUGCUUCAUAUUCUUUUUUUCUGGGACAUAUCCCUGCUCCAUUAGAGACCCACAGGAAUACCCUCAUUUAACUUAAAUUAUUAUUAUUUUAAAUGCUCUUGUCUCUAGUAUAGCCACCUUGGGGAAGCAGGGCUUGAACCUAUGGCUCUCCUGAGGACACAUCUCAACUCUAAGAGGUUUCUGAAUGGUUGUCUGCACAAAGGUUUUUCUAUUGUGUGCUAAUAUUUCCCCUGAUUUGUGGCAAAGUAAGCAGGCUAAGCCAUCUGCUCUUUAUUCAGCUGGGCUUGAUUCACCCCUUCCUUCUUCCCACUCCUCCACUUCCAAUGGCACAUUUCCUCUGCCCAUUUCUUUCUGCCAAAAUUCAAAUCUGCAGCACACACCAGAAGUUAGCCUGGGCUUGUGCAAACUCUCACCAUGUCAUCCUCAUACUGCAGGGUAUAUAUUAGAGAACAUACACACACACACACACACACACACACACACACACACACACACACACAUUUAUGCAUAGAAAAGACGUACACACAUACACAGACAUACGUAGACAUUCACAAACAACAAAUAUGCACAGAUACACAUAGGCAUAUACACACAUACACAGACAUACAUAAGCACAGUAAGACAUGUAACUUAGCUCUUUGGUUGUUAAUGGUUCCCCCUUUAGGCACUAGCGUCGGAGCACACACACAGAUCGGCCUGCAGGUUGAUACUUGUGGGUAUUAACAUACUAUUUAGAAGCUUUAGAGGACAGGGAGAGAGUC